AAAAAGAUGCAUUUAAUGACCUCAUCCCACUAAAAACGGGGCUUUUUGGACCAUUCGACUCUCCGUAGAUUGAAGAUCCCAGCGCCAGGUAUCAAACGCGAACUCAAAGCAUGAAAACGGAGGUGGAAAACAAGUAGUUUUGCUAAAUAGUCGGAUCGGCUGUCUUCUUAACAGUGAUAAUGAGGGGAAAACACGCUCGAGUCUCUGUGAGGAUUUAGCUUUUCUACAGAGUCCAGCUGCUGCAGAGCCGUAACGUAAGGAUGGUUGAAGUGGAAAAGACUGAACUGCUUUUACGCACGUUUCAAGGUGGAAAUGUUUCCAGUGAAGCCUCCUGUCCUUCCUGCACUGAGGGAUCACCAAACAGCAGCAGUGGAAUUAUUCCUGGGAUUGUCGCGGCCACAGUGUUCAUCACUUUUUUGCUUGCUCUCUACACCGUGCUCUGGAGGUGCAUGACAUCGCCACGGCAACGGAAGCGCAGCAAAGUGAGGGCAAGACUGAACAAGAGCUGUGCCGUGUGAUAUUGUGUCAUCUUUUUUUUUUCUUUUCAUAAUGACGUUCAUUCAACCAGGAAGUUUAUUUUCCUUUCACUGCUCGUCUGACUCUGAACUCUGUUCUUUAGAAAAGUUACACCCACCAGGUCACAUCAGGUUCUGUUUGAUCACAGAUUUGAUUGGGGGGUGUUUCUCAAUGUUUCCUCCAAAUGUGCACAAAUCAAGAGGCAACAGGUUUAACUCCCUCUACUGGCAAUUAGGUUUUGAGAACAUUAAAUAGUGGUACUUUUUUAGUGUUUUUCACCUUCAUUUAUUAUUUAUCGAUGCCAAAUGAGUUAUUUCUCCAUUAGUUUCAAUUUUUUAAUUAUAAAAGUAUCUAAAGGCCCACUCUGAUCAUCUUUUGAUCGAUUUUUAAAAGUGUUCUCAGUGGUAUUUUAAAUAUGAUUAUACCACUUUCAGCCAUCGUCUUAUUGUAAGACGUACUUUUUGCAGAACCCCGCCCCCUUUCCCAUCCUUGUUGCAGGGUGGAGCAGGAAGCUUGUGGUCCGCCCUGCAUAUUUUCUACGUCUUAAAGAAGCUUUUCGUCUGCUCUUGAUUCACAAUGAUUUAAAUAAAAAAAUAUUCCCAAUUUUUAUAACUUAAUUUUCUUAGUAUAUGUUCUCUAUCGUCAGAAACAUGCAACAAACAUGUUAAAAACACAAUUUUCGUUAUGUUUUAAAACAUUCAUUCUUGAACACUGGCGAUGGUGAUGAUCAAAAACAGGAGGAGAAGGCACUAUUUCAAGCUAUAAAGAAAAACACACUUAGUGCAGUUUUUGUCGGUUGUUUAAAAAUGAGAGAUGGCAUUUUUAUUGAUUCCUGUUUUGUUGCAAAUUUUUUAAUAAAGUCAUUUUUUAUCUUUGCAGCUAAAGGUUAUACUCAUUUCAUAUUUAAAUAUGAAAUGAGCAUUAAUAUUAAUUUUUAACAUAUUAAAAUCAUCAGCUGUUUCUGUUCUAUUUUAUCUAAUAAAAUGUUUAUUUUUAUGUGAUCCAGUUUCCUGUUGUGACCUGCAGUGUUGAGCACUUUGUGAUAUUUUUUUCUUCUUUCCGUGAAAAGUGUUGUAUAAAUAAACUUGCUAACUUUAAA